UACAGUUAUCUACACAAUUUACAGUACGGAAACUAGCACCAAUUGCCACACAGCCUAUGCAGCUUUCGUUCUCAUCAUGACUAUACUAGCAAUAAAGUAACCCAGUGAAUAUUGGUCGUAACUUAUCAUUAGAAUACAAUGAUUUAGAUGUAUAUCGCAAGCCAAACGGCUCUCAGUACAAUAGGAUGUUAUUUAUGCAGAGAUACAGCAUUCAAUGUGUUCUCAUACAACAAAAGAGAAUUUUAGGAUGUGCUUUUAGGGCCUUGACAUAUACAGAUAUCUUACUCGGUGAAGUUCUAAAACAUCCCAGAGCUUCCUCAAAUUGAUUAUUAGGUUAAUAAAACACACACACAAAACAUUCAAAAAAUCAUGCAAAUAUAAAAUGAAUGAUGCUCAUUGAGAAAGCAGAAGCCCAGAAGUCUUAUGUUAAUUGCCAUAGAUGUUUGCUGGGAGCCUCGGGGUGGUCAAAUGAGGUGUCUCCCUUUUCGCUCCUCGGGUUAUAAGUCAGAGCACUUUUUUUAAAGCUCGCUUGUUGAAGUCUACUUUCUCUAUCAUCAGGGGUUGUCGGAGUUGGGUCCACUGAAAAACGUAGAGUGCUAAAUCACUGCAUAUGCUGCCUCGGAGGACAAAAUGCUGAAGACUGGAUGUACAACAGUAUAUGGGCGCCCCCUAGCGUUUGGAUUACUUCUGCCUGAAUUCGCUCUUUAAGGUGGAAGAGCCAUCUUAAAUGGAAACUACAUCGGUCGCUCGCCUCUCACAUACACCAGAGUAACAUGCGCCUAUUUUAAUCUGAUUAAUGCUUUUGAGAUUUCCUUCUAAUUGACUUGGACGUUGCAGAGGUGCGUUUGAAAGUGUCUCUACCACACAUUUUCUCCACAGUGUUGUUCACGCACGGGAGUAUUGCCGCGUUUCGGUUAAUUUUGGCCAGUUUAUUGAAACGAUCAAAAGUGAGCACCGUGCCUCAUCUCCGACCAUUCUAUGUGAACAAGACAGACGAAAGCAAUACCGCAGAAGUAAAUUAGAGCGUACCGAUGCAAAGUGGAUUUUACCCCAAGAUCAAGGUAGAGUACGACGUUCUGGCAGACUAGCUGCGCAUUGUGUCAGACCUCUGCAGGACUGUGACGAGGGCAGAGGACACGGCCACUCUGGGAACCGAAGAAUGCCGAGUGCUGACAUCAACACCAAAUGCAUGAUGGGAGGAGGAACUUCACGCAAAGAUCCCACAAUGACAAAGCAGGGAAGGUAGGCCUUAAUGUAUGCUUUUGAGCUACUGGAGCAACUAACCUAUAUUCUUUUACAGGCAAAAGGAUCACUGGUCAGCUGACAACGAACUUCUCGAAAUCAACUAUGUAUGUAUGUAAUGACAUAUGAUUAAAUAAUGCAACCGAACAAGAAGCAGUACUGUAUGAGGCAAUGAAAGAAAAUAUUUUCUUGAUGACAUUAAUAGAAAUGUUUAAUUAUCAACUGUACAAUAUUUUCUGCCAAAAGCUCAAGAAAAUAAACACGAGUCCCAUA